rnacentral:lncRNA from 1 species
UGAGAAGUAAAAGUUUAGGGGAAAAAUAAAAAGUUUUGGAGAAUAAAAGUUUGAGAGAAAGUAAAUAGAUGGAGGGAAAAUAUUAAAAAAAAAUUGGAGGGGGAAGGGUUUGGGAUAGAUGGGAGGUGGGAUGGGAAGGGAAUAAAAGUUUUAGGGGAAAAGUGGGAGGAAGUAAAAAUUUUGGGGGAAAAUAAAAGGUUUUGAUGGUUUUUGGGAGUAAAAUUUUGAGAAAAAAUAAAUGGGAGAGUAAAAUUUUGGUGGGAAAUGGAUUUUGGGUAGAUUGGGGGGUUGGAAGGGGAGGGGAAUAAAAGUUUUGGGGGGAAAGUGGGAAGGAGUAAAAGUUUUGAGGGAAAAGUAAAAAGGUUUGGGAGUUUGGGGUAAAAAUGUAAAAUAUUAUAGUUUGAUAUUCGAAUUAUUCGAAUUCGAAAACUCAACUCGAUUUAAACUCGAAAUUCGAAAAAAAAUUCGAG